GGCGAAAGCCUGAUCCAGCCAUGCCGCGUGUGUGAAGAAGGUCUUCGGAUUGUAAAGCACUUUAAGUUGGGAGGAAGGGCAGUAACCUAAUACGUUAUUGUUUUGACGUUACCGACAGAAUAAGCACCGGCUAACUUCGUGCCAGCAGCCGCGGUAAUACGAAGGGUGCAAGCGUUAAUCG
rnacentral:rRNA from 1 species